ensembl:lincRNA
AUGCUGAUUAAACGGAGAAUGGCAAUGAGCUUUGCAGCAGCUUUUGUUUUUCUCCUGAUAUCACAUAGACCAUCGCAGUCCACGACAGGCUGCCUGUGCAAAGACAACGUCUGUUACACCGUAACUCAAAGCUCGGCGAAUUUUGAUGUUGCACAGAAAACAAUCACAAUUCACUACGAACAAUCGCUGUCGCAUCAAUCUAAGGAAUAUAACUAUUCGAUCUCGGUCUUGUUGUCUAAUUUAAAAGGACAUUUCUGGGUUGGGCUGCGAAGUUCCGAUGAACGGUGCCCUCAAAACGCAGUUUUGCCCGGUUGGGCAACAGGAAAUGAAAGUACUAACUUUACCAGAUCGAAAGAACCGGACUCUGUUUGCUCUCAGCAGUGUGUCUCCGUUUCAGGCGACCUGACGUGGAAAGAAAGGCCUUGUCAAGAUCAGGCGGAUGGCUUUCUGUGCGAGUACAGGUUUAGUAAAAUGUGCAAUAUUUCUAAAGGGCAAGUCGAUUCCCAAACUCUUUUGUACAGAACUCCUUUAGGAUUGCAGGGAAGUGAUCUCAUCUUGGUCCCUCCAGGAAGCAUCCUGACACUGGAACCCUCUGGAAUGAAGAUCUAUUGUGUGGACAACGACACUGUGGACUGGAUCCAGGGCCCGUGGAAUUGCGAGAUUGAAAAAGGUGGCUGUGAACAUCAGUGCGAGAUGUGCAACGGGAAACCACAGUGCACCUGCCCACCAUACAUGAAACUUGAGGAGAAUAAAGUGGCAUGGUGGCGUAGCUGCUCACAGCUCCUGGAUCCCUGGACUGAUUUCGGAGUCGUAUCCAAUUCAGUAUCCCUGGAAAUCUGUAUCCCCCACCGUAAUGCGUACGCAGACCACAGAAAAAAAACUUUCCAAGAUACUUAAUGAUACAGACUGCUCCUGCGUGCAUGUUUGAGUCUCUGUUCAUUACAAUAUAGAUCAAAAGGACCCCGUCGUUUUUGUGCGUUUAUACUGGUUUUCUCAGAGUAUUUAAGGCGUUCUGUAGGAAUUCAUAUUAAAGUUACAGCCACCAUAUGAAUGGAAGCUUAAGUCAUUUAACUCAAGACAGCACACAAAUGCUGUGUACAUCUUUUGUUCUUGUGUUCCAUAUAAAUUAUUUUAUAUGCGUUAUCUUACUUCCCUGAGAUAACGGAUUGUGCGCAUUCCGAGGCGGGGUAGGAGGGAGAAUACAAAUUUCUAGGGGAUGGUGAAUUGUAUACGAAAACGGGAGAUCUCUAUUAUAAUCAAACGUCGCUUAUCUCUCGUUUCAUUUGUGCUGAAAAUCAAAGACGGUCAGUAUUCCACAGCGCGUCUACGUACAAUAGCCACUAGAUGGCGAUCGUGUGCGGCAUCUAUCCAUCAUUACUUUUAGCAACUCUUUGGAAAACGAAAUUACCUCAAGUCCAAAUACCUUAACCUUAGAGUGUAUCGAUCAGUAUGUUAUCACUUUACAUCAAAAUCUAAAACAUGAGUGAGACAGUGGAACAGCAAACGGAAACAACAACAACAACAACAACAAAAUUGUAAUUUUACAGUAGUGACUUGUGGAUAUUAAUAUUGUGUGACACAAUUCACCCCACUACAAUGAAAAUAUUUUUUUAAUCACAAGAAAGUACCUUUCCAAAUUUCAGAAUCAAUAUAGCAGUAUAGCAGUUGUAACAACAGGACUUGCACCCUAUGCUACUGGGAUUGGCACUGGCAUGUCAUGACGGAAGGAUAAUAUGUGGAAGAAUGGGUAUUACCCCAAUUAAACAGGUCGUGUUUGACAGUUUUUUGGUAUAGUAUAGUAAAUAUAAAAAACAUAUUGCUGCUCUAUAAUUGGUCCACUGAAGAGCAACAAGAUUAAUUCCCAGGCAUAAAGGAAUGUCCAAAACUGACAGCCUAGAAAAACUGAACCUUCUUCUUCUUGAACAGAGAAGAGGGGGGGAACCUGACUGAAGUAUUCAAAAUCCUCAAAGGCAUUCUUUUAAGAAAUAGUUGAAUGAUAUACUGGGUAACAUAGCUACUAACUGCCAAACUGGCCUGUUGUGCCAAAGACCCACUGCUUUUGUUGUGUUAUGUAGAAAUAUAGGUGUAACUAGGUUUGGUGCUUUUCUGAUUUUCUUUUCCUGCAUGCAAAAUAAAUCCUAACAGAAGUCUCCAACUCUGGUCCUGGGCAAUGGAUUAACCAAUCAAUAAAACAAUUAAUGUAUUCAAUUACAGUGAUUGUAGACUCUGGUCUGUACAUGCUGUAUAUUGUAGUAUUCUGAUUUUUGUUCCACCUAAUCUCUAACUUAGAAAUAGACUGCAAUUGUUCAUAAUACUUUUUUUCCAAGUCUUUCAUUGAUGAUUCAGUGGUUAUUCAUAAAUCCUACUGCCUUGGGACUCCCUGGGGCCAGGAUUGUGUACGACCGAGGUAAGUCCCUUUGAACUGUGAAGGGACAGAGAUCCAUUUAUUGAAAAAAAAAAUAAUACAAUGAAUAAUUUUGUUCAAAGCCAACUUUUACACUUGAUAAUUGCUUUCUCUAGUUUAUUGUGGUUGCUUAGCUUCUCUGUUGACCGCAGGUGUGUUGUGCAUUGAAUAUAAAGUUCAACCUGCUUCAAAUAACUUAAUUCCAGAAGUUGUCUGUAUUUUGUAAUCAGCACAAAUGACAGAAGUUGCUUGGUAUCAAACCUAGAUACUGUAUAUCCAUUAUUUUAGAAGAAUGUAUUGUAACUCUGUAAACAUUUCACUUUAGUUUAAUAUACAUUCAGGCAGCAAAUUGUCUCGGUUCAUUUAGAUACUUAAUGGUGUAUUUGUAUUUGAAUUCAACACCCCAACUAUUAUUUUUAUGAUUUUUUAUGAUUUACAUAUGAAGGUGAAUGCUUUUGUUUUUCUGGGUAUCACACUUUCUUUUCCAGUGUACUGUACAGUAUAUUGAUCCAUUCCAUUUUAUAUUGAUUUUAUCAAUGAAUUCUGCUACGUACUAGAAUGUGUAAUCAAUAUGUUAUAAAUCUGGAACUAAUAUAGUAAGAACAAACAUAAACAAAUAUAUGUCUUUUCAAUAAAGUAA